ACCCUGGGGCUCCUUUCCCCUUGCACUGUUCCUUCCCACUGGGGGGCUCAGGACAGACUUGACUGGGCCAGUGAAAAGCUGACCCCAGCGGGAUGGGGGCAGGCUUUGGCCCCACAGGGAACCAAGGAUGAUCAGCUCCAUCGGGAUGGAGGUAGGGGACUGUAGAAGCUAAACCAGUCAGAGCCAUGAGACAUCUGCUGCCCCAGCAACCCUCCUGGUCAGACCUGUUUUGCCCCCCACCCCCCAGGCUUGACAUUCCUGGGGUCUGUGGCUGUGGGAAGGAGGCAGCAGCUCAGAGGAGGAGGCAGGAGGGGAGCCAAGGUGCUGGGUGAGCAGCUGGUGAUUUGACUCCUUGCCUCUGGAAACCGGCAGCAUGUGGGAGGCUUUCAUGUUAAAAGAGCUUAUUCUAAGUAUCCUAUAGAUGCUACAGGAAAAGGAAGAUGGAUUUUAAUUUUUUACCAUAACUUUAAAGCUUCAAAGAUUUCUUGCUUAAGAAUCACCAAGUCUGAUUGUGUUCAAAGUCAGCCCCUAGAGUUUACACAAAGGACAUUUUCAGUUUGUUCAAAGUCCCCAGAAACUCUUUUUUGUACAUCGGCCCUUGGAUACAGGGAAGCUGAUCCAAUUCUACCCGUAUGACAUUUUGUGAAAAACAGCUUGUGCCCAAGUUUGCUGUUCUCUUUCUAAACGGCUGCAAUUUUUAAAAUGAACGGCUGUUUCAUUUUAGCUUUGCAACCGCUGUUGACCGUCCACUUUCAUCCUGACCAGCUCUCUGAACGCUGUGUUAUUCCCAGGACAAGGGAACCCAAGCAGUGGAGUUAAUUCUAUGAGUUAGAAUCUGAAAUAGUUCUUCUGACCCAACAUUUUUCAGUUCUAGCACGUUACCACCCUAGGAGGGCAGAGAGUGUUGUCUUAUUGGAGGAAUUGCUUUGGGGGACUUGGUGUUGCCGUGGGUGUGCGGGGAGUGGUGGUGGUGGUGGUGAAGCUUUGACAUUCAGCCUCCUGCUGCGGCCUCCAUUCAGCCACAGACAGAAGAGCAGCUCACCUGGGAGGUGUGGUGACCUGGGAAAUAGGCCCAGCCUUGGCUCCAGGUCCCCAGCCGACAGAAAGGCCGCUUGCUAGUCAGCAUUCCAGGCCUUGCUGGGCGAGGGACACGGAGAGCCCUGUGCCCUACCAGCUUGGCUGCUAGCAGCCAGGUCCCACUCCAGUCUCUGAAGGAAGCCAGCUGGGGGGUUCUUGUUCACGUUGUGGAGGGAGUGGUGAAGGAGGUGAUAGAUCAUGCCAAGGAGGCUGGAGAGAAAGCCAUUGCUGAUGCUUUAAAGAAGGCCCAUGAGUCGGGGGACAAAGUGGUGAAGGAAGUCACUGAGACAGUGACCAACACAGUCACGAAUGCUGUUGCGCAUGCAGCAGAAGGCCUGGGCAGACUGGGACAGUGAGCUUGCCUGCCAGCAGCAGGUUCUUCCUGAACCGCAAUAAAAGCUGUGGUUAACUGUGUGCGCUGAGCCCUGGAUUUGUUCCUGUUUGGAUGGAAGCACUGCCUCUGUCCCCAGUGUCCCCUCUGCAGGGACAAGGGGCCAGCACCCUGGCUCCCACUGGGGGUCACAUAGUUCCCUGAGCUUAAUCACAUGUGCUGCUCUCACUUUAUGAUUUCUCACGUCAAUGAGGAGCUCUUGAGGACUGUUAGUGUUUGUGCUACGUCUCUUAAAAGACUAUUUCCCCAGAAAAUCUACAAAGCUUUCAAACACCUCAGUGCUUCAGGGACACCCCAAGAAAGGACCACAGUUCAGCUUAUGUGUCCUUUGGGUUUUCUUUGAAAUGUUCUUGCAGGAGUCAGGGAAGAUAACAGGCCAACUUGAGCUGGGCAGGAUCAGGCAGAUUGAGCUGCUUCAGGUUCUCAAAGAGGCUUUAGAGAACUGUUUCUUCUGAACAGUCACAGAAUCAUGACUGUCAUGGAGAAACUGAAUCCACCCCCUGUUGGAGCCUCUGUCAAGUCUGCUCAGAGACGUGGGUUAGGCUUAAAUUGUCUGUAGUAGGCAAGAAAGCCUGGCCUUCCCUCCUUCCUGCCAUGAAUGAAUCAGACCAUAAAAGGUUAUUUUGUGGAACGAGUUAGUUGCUCACCAUAUUUCUGAUGCUCUUUCAGAAUUGGCUUCACAAGUUUCUGAAUGGCCCAGGAAUAUCCAGUGUCCUAGCUUGAUACAUUUGAUACUGUCCAGCUGGGUCUGGACCUUAUAUCUUGGUUUGGUUUCUGAUGACUUUUGAAUUCUCCGAAUCCAAACCCAAGCUCAAAAGGAUGUGACUUGUGAGUGUUAGUGUCAAUCAGAACAGGUUCUUUGGAUGGCAGCUCCUCUUAGCAGCGUUUAUUUUAUUCUUCAGGUACACAGACAGAGGCCCAAAGGGUGAGGAUACAUCCUGACAUAUUUGUGAUAACACGAGAUUGGAAACACCCUAAAAUGAUAAUCAGAAGUCACUUGGUUGGCAAGCUUAAUUGUGCUUGUUAGGUUUGACACACACUAUCGAAUUGACAUUUAUUACUUCUAGUGUAUUUAUAAUGCCUUAGCAUGAAAAAUGGGACUUUUGCUUAGAUGGCCAUCUAAGGGCUGGAUAACAAUUACUGCAUUUCUAUGAAAUGGAAUACUCUGUGGCUGUUAAGGGACUUCCCUGGUAUCUCAGCUGGUAAAGAAUCCACCUGUAACUCAGGAGACCCUGGUUCAAUUCCUGGCUUGGGGAGAUCUGCUGGAGAAGGGAUAGGCUAUCCACUGCAGUAUUCUUGGGCUUCCCUGGUGGCUGUUAAGAAUGAGAAAAAUGUACAUAUAUCAUUAGGGAACAUGUACAACUAAGUUAGUAAUAUGUGAAACAUGUAUGUAGAACUAGUUCAUUUUUUUCAAAGCAAACAAGAAAACGGUAGAAUAUAUGUAUGUAUAUAUCAAAUGUUAACCAUGUCUGUAUGUAUAUAAAAUAUUAACCAUGUUCAACUCUGUGUUUCUUUGGAAAUAUGAGGAAUCCUCAGUUUUUCUAUUAUAUAAAUAUAAAUGAUGCUUGAAUUUAAGAGAAAACCAAUACAGAUAUAUUUUGAAAUGUGGUUAUGGAGGCCACAUUCUAGCUUAUUGAAUAUUGCUUCCUAAUUAAGUGCUACUUAAAGUUUGCUGGUUUCAUAUUUGAAAACCAGUGUAAUAGGAAAGUACCUUUGUACUCUAUUACAAGUUGAUCACUAAAAGGAUAUUUCCUGUAAGCUUAAAUUAUAGGUAAGGGCCCAUCUCUGGAAAACCUGCCUCCCAGGUAAGGAGCAUUAAGCUAAAAUACCUUUAUUUAGCUCUCAGGAAACAUGCUGACCAGGCACACCUGUGAAUGUCUACAGGGAGGAAGAAAUUAACACAUCUCUCCCGGAGGCUGAUGGGAACCAGGAAGUGUUUGACUUUGCUCCUUCCCCUUUUAGUGUAAAAGAACCCAACCUCAGGCAGACUGGUUCUUUGGAAUGUGAGGCCAUCUUCUUAUGUGUUGGCUUUCUGAAUAAAGUUGUUAAUCCUUGC